UGUUACUAUGGUAAAUAGAAUAGGCAGAGGUCAUAAGUGCUACUAUGGUAGGUAGAAUAGAAAAGGCAGAGGUCACAAGUGUUACUAUAGUAGAUAGAAUAG